ACUAUAAAACCCGGUUGUGUGGAGGUGCCUCAGUCCUCUGCAAGAUGUGGGAGCGAGAGCUCGCAAUUCUCAGUCUGAGCUGUGAAUAACACUGAACACAUGUCUACUAAAUUGUGAGUGGUUUUACUGACGUUUCAUUACCCUUAAUGUGGUUUGAAAAUGAAAAUAUGGUU